rnacentral:lncRNA from 1 species
UGAUGAGGCUGGCUAGUGUUAUCUUCCCCAUGGUAAAGGCCGGAAGCUUUAUCCGGAAGCAGCGCAGCCCACGUGGUAUCUCAAUGGCUCUGUCGUGGGCGCCAGGGCAGUGAAGGCUGAUGGGAUAAUACAAUGCUGAUGAUUCACUCGGGGAGAAGGCUGGGAUGGGUCAUGAAGCUGUCUUGGAACUUAUUUUCGUCUCACACCCCCAGGAUGAAUGCGCUCAAUGUUGAUCAGGUCUCUGUCAACAGGACACUACUCUCCUUCCCCAUACCUGGUUACACAGGGCCUUUCAGCCAUGAUACUGAAAAGGCUUUUGAACUGGGCACUUCCUCUGGAUCCGUCUAUUGAAUGCCUGGCUGGCAAGUCAUCACCAGCUAUGAUGAAGACCACACAACCCCGGUGUGGAUCCCGUGACAGGAGGCACUUCCUUUCUUCCUCAGUCCUCAAAGGAUCCCAUUUGCUCGCCACUCAGAAAACACUUCCACAGGCCUGCUGAUCACUCGAACGAUGGCCGGCGAUGGCUGCCAAGGGCUUGAGCUGAGAGAGUCCAGCUUCUCCUAUUUUAGAAGAAUUGAUUUCAUCUCCAUCUGCCUCAGUGGAGUGACUGUUACCUCAGUGUUAGAGGUGAGCAAGAGAACCAGAGAGGGUUGUUUAUUAUCCAAAGCAGCACAGCCUGCAGAAUGGUGUGCCACCUCUCUCACUAGCACAAACAAAGCUCUUGGCCAGGUGAAUGUAUGACAGCGCAUAUGACCAAGACAUUGUCCCUGUAAAGCUCAUGUGCCCAUGAUGAGUAGUGAAGACUGGCAAGUCUCUGGGAUGAAUCUCCCAGGUGCCAGGGAUGCAUACGAGGUGACCAGGAACUGCCUGAGGUGUCAGUGUACUUCCUGGGCUGAAACCUUGCUUCCUCAAUAUGGCGGUGUUGUUAUAGGCCUAAGUGGGAAGUCCUUGGGUUGCAGGUUGUUUACUAAGAUGUUGAUGUUCCUCUCGUGGGAAUGAAUUAACAUCCAAAGGGCUUUGGCGUGAUUUUCUCUCUUCAACUCACGCCCAUAUGCCAUUCUGCUUUCUGCCAUGUUUGAAGCGGAAUGGAGCUCUUCCUAGAUCCAGUGGCCCAAUCUUGGACUUCCCGAACUCCGGAAUUAUGAUCACGAAUAAAUCUCUUUUAUCCAUAAAUGACCCAGUCUUGGGUAUUUUGCUAUAAUGACGGAAAAUCAACUAAGACAGAAGCCUAAGAAAGGGAUGUUUGAUGACUGGGUUUAUGCCUUCGCUGGAGUCCAAGGAGGUGACGGUUGGUUGGAUCCUAAAGGAGUGUGAUAGAUGGUUGGGAGUGGAGUUCAUCAGGGAACGCAAUGUUUGCAGAGGAUAUAGGACACGCACGAUAUGGUAGGAAAUGAAUAAUUACAGAGGCACAAGGAGCAAUUCUGAGUGGCCCACAGGGCCCAGAGCUAGGCUGGACAGAGGUCUGGAACAGUUCACAGAAGAGCUGAA